rnacentral:lncRNA from 1 species
CGACUGGAUGGGCCUUGAGAAAAGUGACAUGCUUCUUUGAGUGAGAGGAGAUUGGAGGGAGACGGAUCUGACUGUGACCUAGUGAGCCUGUGGAGCUGCUGUUGCCUAAACUACCCGCUGGGGGAGUGGGCGUGUCGAUGAUCAAGCGAAGGCUACGCCUGAGUGACUUUCUUUAGCGCUUGCAUGUCACUCAUUUCUUCCUCCCCGCCCCGCCCCCCCCCCCUUUGACAUGAUUCACUUUCCUGACACGACCACAACUUUUCACUGAAGAACUCGAAACCUCGGAAGUGAGGGAGUGGAGAAUCACCUUAAAAGACUGCUCAGCAGGACAUCCCCAUCGGAAAGCCAGGCACGCAAUAAAGACAGACUAUUUAAAACAGACUGGAGCAGAGCUGACAGGCGGCGUGAUACUGAAGAGACAGUUUUCAGGAAGUGCUUGGCUUGUGCAGGUGAACAGAACUGCUCUGCCCUCUCUGUCUUUAAUAUGGAAGGUGAAAAAUGGCUGUCAUCCAGCCCAGAGUCCGCCCAGGGGCAGAUCCUUGGAGCUCAAAGUUCCUGGGGUUUUAUUUUCGAGCUCUGGGCAUAAGUAUCAAAUUGGCCCUGUGGCAAGGCAACUGUAGUCUGGGUGUGCCACAGAGGGUUAGCUUCUACCUAGACAAAGGGCAUACCCUCCCCUGUCUGGUUCUUAGAGGGAGCUCUACACCACCAGGCUUUCUGCUAUGCAGAGGACUUCCUGCAGUGCCUGUCCUCUGUCCUCUAGACUUCACUAGACCUAGAAAAAGGUAAGCCCUCUGUCUUCAAUAGAGCUGUGUUCUAGUAAUGGUUAAAAAUCACUGUAAACUUAAGAAGAUCUAGAAUAACCUGGGAGAUGGACCUCUGGGCAUGCCCAUGGGGAAUACCCUUGAUUAGGCUAAUUGAUGUGGGGAGAUUCAAUUCUGGGGGUGGGGGUACUAAUCCAUGGGCUGAAAUCCAUGACUCUGAAAGAAGAAAAUGAGCUGAACAUGAGUAUUCAUGGCUUUCUUCCUCAUGACUGUGGACCACUGCUUCAAGUGCCUGCUGCCAUGAUGACCUGUUGCCAUGACGACCUGUUGCCUUGAUGACCAGCCCCUGAAACUGUGAGUCAAAAUGAGCCCUUGCUUCCUUGAAGGAUCCUUUAAGCAACCCAGAAAGAAACAGGAAGCCUGGGAGGCACUUGACUCUGCGGUGACGUGGAGUUAGAGUCCUUUCCCAACAAUUAUUCUUGAAACUUUCUAUCUCAGCCUCUUUUGGAGAUGUAAACGCUCUCCUACAAGUAUUGAGUGCCUACUGCUGCCACUCAAGUGCUUCUGUAGGUAGUGAGGCCUCGGUGAGGGACAAUGGGGGCAGCUGGGCUCCUGUCCUCAUGAAAAUGCACCACCCAGCUCUGAGGGAACGUGGCUAAGAAGUAAAAAAGAAUCUGGUGUCUGAACAGAUGUCUGUAAAUCCUGGCAUUGCAACACUAUGAUGCUCCGUAGCCUAACAGUGGACUUCCUAACGUGGGAAUAGGCUGAACUGUGAAGACAGCUCAAAGGGUAAGGCACUUGCUACCCGAGGGGGCACACAAGCCUGGUGACCUGAGUUUGGCCCCUGAAACUCAUGUAAAGCUGAAAGGAGAACCAGCGUCACAAAGUUUUCCUGUAACCUCUGCAUGCAAGCUGUAGCAAGCAUGCCCAUGCGCAUACAUCGUACACAUACAUGAACAUUUACACAUAGUAACAGUGAAUCUGUGCAUGUUCCCUAAGGAGCCUUCUCAUAAGUUGCCAUUCUGACCCCUAAAGCUGAGAGAUGUUCUUCCAGGCAUGAUCGUGUUUCCAUAGUGAGAGUGAGUGUUUCAAAUAUGCCCACACAAUCCAGUGGAAUUUUUCUGGGCUCACUGCAAGUUUCUAUUUAUCUGAAUAGUCUCUCCUUGCCUGAGACGGCCAAGUUCCCACUUGCACUCCAUGAUCCAUGCAGUUCUCAAUGUUGCCGAAGCUCCCAGCCUGGCCCAACUUGACUUCUCGCCCUGCCUUACCCGCAUAGCUGUCAAUCAGACAGUUUCAGCAGGGCAGGAGACAUCUGAAAGAGUCCAGGUCCAAACUGAACUUUGAAGUGCAGAGUUCCCAGCCAUGCAUCCAAUAACAUCCUACUCUCUUGGGUUUAAACAUCAUCCACUCUGCGAUAACUCCUUUGAUUUGGCUCUUGUUUGAAAUGAUCUGCCCGAUGCCAUUUCUCUGCAACCUUCAGAACGAGAUACAAUCUUUCCUGAGUCAGCCAAACGGAGUGGACCUUUUCAAGCCUAAAGAAACAUCUGUCCUCCGUCUGCAGGACCUGAAAAACAGGACUUUAACUUGAGUGCUGUGAAGGACACUAAUUCUUGUAAAGGACAAGAAAUCCUUUUUGGGGUGUGGGAGGGAGGGGAAUAAAAUCCCAAUAAAUGCCAAACAGGAUCUUUCCCACCCUGCAUAUCAUUUUCCAAAGAGCACCCCCAAAGGCCACGUUAGCUGAGCAGUUUAAUGAGAACAUAGGCUCCAAAGUCAACCAAACACUAGUCAAAUGUUUAAGAUACCAUGUAACAUCUAUGUAGUCAAAUAGUUAUUUAACUGUGAUAAUUCUUAGAGAUGUAAAACAGAGAAGAUUCUGGCAUCUUCCCUAACAGUCACCUUCUCUAGAAGGCCAGCACUAAGGACUCGUAUUCCUCUUUUGAUGUUUCUGCUGCUAAUAGGAGAGGUGGAAAUACAAGAACCUAAGAUUGGGGAUCAGAAGCCCAGGCUGUGCAUCCCUGGGCUGUCACUUAGUGUGGGAUGCUAGAAGAGUCACACGCUUAGCAGUUCAGCUCACCAUUGAGGCUCAAGGAAGAUAAUCACCUGAAUUUCCUUGGCCAGUGCUAAAUUCUAGGAAAGCAUCAUCGGCCGCAUCAUCAGCUGGCCUUUCUGUUAUGAGUCCCGUGUUUCCUUUCCGUUAUGGACCCUGUGAGUUCUCUGGAAAUUCCUGUUGAAAUGCUAACUCGGGUGAAUUUCUAGCGCCUUGAGCUUGUACUUACUUCCCAGCCCCUGGAGAGUCAGAAACAAAUGUCAAGAGUACCACUUUCUAUCAAUAACAACAACAACAACAACAGCAACAACAAACAACAGUAAUAGAACAUUUGGAUGUAUACAUAAUUUUUUGAGACAGAGCCUCACUAUGUAGCCGUAGUCGCUUGGAACUCAUUUGUAGCUCGGCUGGCCUCAACCUCAAAGAGAUCCACCUGCCCCUACUACCUAAUUGCUGGGAUUGAAGUCUUGCCCACCACGCUCAGCUUGCUUUUUAUAUUGUACAUCCAGUGCUGCAGCUUUCCUUUCUCUUUAAAUGUGAAAUGCUUAGGAAGCCCUUUAAAUACCAGACCUCACAGCAGGCAAGCCACAGCUGUGAGCUAAAGAAAUCAAAAGCCAGCUGCCCCUCUCUUGCUCAGAGUCAGGUGUCAACAGCCAUUGUUCUUAUUUUCUUGAAGACAAAGGCAGCAGUUUUGUCAAUGACAUCAUAGUUGAUGCUGUGACCCUGAAAAGGAUCCCCCCAAGUGAAAUGGCCUUCUCCUGGCCUUCUCCUGGCCAGCCUUCUUCCUCCCUCAUUCUCCCCAGCACAGGCUACAAACACUACAGCCCACUGUUAGUGAUGUCAUUAGGAUCUAAGCCAGGAGCCUAGCAGUUCUGUGGAACGACUUACCCACCCAACCUCAGCAGAACUAGAGAGACAAAUAAUAGUGAAAAGCAGAAGAAAGAGACACAUUCAUUGCGGCCACGCUGGGAAGAAGAACAAGGGGUUCUUCCCUUUCGUUCAGUCUGAGACCUUUUCCUGUGGGAUGAUACCACAUUCAGGGUGAGCCUCUCAUCUUCAGAUCGACACUCAGACACCCCUAGAGGGGAAUCUCCUAACUGAUCAUCACAGGGAAUAACUCCCACAUCCCUACAAGUCUCCGGGGAAAGAGAUCUUUUUCCUUCACACAUCACACUCCAGUGUGCCAUAGUGAGUCCCAGAACUAGAUUGUAUGAAUCUCAGAAGAGACUUUGAACUUUGGACUUUUAAAUAAGUUGGAGACUGCUAUAGACUAUGGGGACCUUGAAGCUGGACUAAAUGCAUUUUGCAUUAUGGUAUGGAUACACAUCUAUAGGGGCGAGAGUUGAAAGGGGUGGUUUGAAUAUAAA